GACGGACGCUGGCGGCGUGCCUAAUACAUGCAAGUAGAACGCUGAAGAGAGGAGCUUGCUCUUCUUGGAUGAGUUGCGAACGGGUGAGUAACGCGUAGGUAACCUGCCUUGUAGCGGGGGAUAACUAUUGGAAACGAUAGCUAAUACCGCAUAACAAUGGAUGACACAUGUCAUUUAUUUGAAAGGGGCAAUUGCUCCACUACAAGAUGGACCUGCGUUGUAUUAGCUAGUAGGUGAGGUAAUGGCUCACCUAGGCGACGAUACAUAGCCGACCUGAGAGGGUGAUCGGCCACACUGGGACGGAGACACGGCCCAGACUCCUACGGGAGGCAGCAGUAGGGGAUCUUCGGCAAUGGGGGCAACCCGGACCGAGCAACGCCGCGUGAGUGAAGGAGGUUUUCGGAUCGUAAAGCUCUGUUGUAAGUCAAGAACGGGUGUGAGAGUGGAAAGUUCACACUGUGACGGUAGCUUACCAGAAAGGGACGGCUAACUACGUG
rnacentral:rRNA from 1 species